rnacentral:lncRNA from 1 species
UACUCCCUACUAUCUCUCGAUGCCUUGAUGCCCCUUUUUUAUACGUAGUCCCCUCUUUUUAUAGAGUAAAAACUCAGCCAAAAUGGAAUAGUAAUAGAGUUUCAAUUGUAUUCAAACUCCUCAACCCACAUCUGCCAUCCAAUCGAGAUCAAACGAUCCAAAUUUCACUCCAAACAAGCCUAAAUUAGGUCGGCAGCCUUCCUAACCAUUCAAUCCUUUUCCAGAUUAAAUCGUGACCA